GCGCACCUCCAAGCGCACACCUGCGCGCGCCACUCCAAUCAAUCAGCAAUCUGCACACCUGAAGCUGAUGAGACGCCGGGCUUCUUAAGCCACACAGCAUUCCUCCGUUCCCUGAUGACAAGCUGUGUGUCUCGUCUCCCCGUAUUCCCCUCUGGUUCCCUGGCUGCCCCUUUUUGGAUCUCGACCUCCCACCUGGACACAGACUUUUGACACCUCGCUCUUGCCCCUGACCUCCUGCCUGUCUCUGGACCUUUGAGCCUGCCUUGCCCUAUUUUGUACUUCCGCACCUCGCUCAACACUCCCGGUAACACUCAGUUAAUCACUACACAUAGUCGCACACCACACAUAUUUGGAUUAGUUACACACUUCAUAUUAUUGUUUUUAAAUAAUAGAGCUAAAAUGACGUCCCUGCAUCUGUGCCGUUUCCUUCUUCCCUUCCUGUACUGUAAAAUAGUUUUGUCUAUUCUAUAAAUGUUAACAGACACUUAAAGGGGAAAUGCACUUUUUUUUUUUUUCAGAUUUUGCCAAUUUUUCACAAUUAGAGAUGUCCGAUAAUAUGCGUUAAAAUGUAAUAUCGAAAAUGAUCGGUAUCGUUUUCUUUAUUAUCGGUAUCGUUUUUUUUUUUUUUUU